GCCCGCUUAGCUCAGUGGUAGAGCGCGCCACUCGUAUAACGGAUUUCAUAUUAAAGAAUGGUGAGGUCGGUUGUUCAAUCCAGCCAGUGGGCA